rnacentral:rRNA from 1 species
UACGUAGGGUGCAAGCGUUGUCCGGAAUUAUUGGGCGUAAAGAGCUCGUAGGCGGUUCGUCGCGUCGGCUGUGAAAUCCCGAGGCUCAACCUCGGGUCUGCAGUCGAUACGGGCGGACUGGAGUUCGGCAGGGGAGACUGGAAUUCCUGGUGUAGCGGUGAAAUGCGCAGAUAUCAGGAGGAACACCGGUGGCGAAGGCGGGUCUCUGGGCCGAUACUGACGCUGAGGCGCGAAAGCGUGGGGGAGCAAACAGG